AGUGAAUGCUAGUAAUAUGCCGAAUACAUACAAGUCGAACGAAUCGAAAAGAUUAAGUGGCGAACGGGUGAGUAAUAUAGAAGGAUUAAAUCUAAAGAUGGGGAUAGUGUGAAAAACAGAAUACCUAAUAAAAAAAAAGAUUAAUCGCUUUAGAAAGAGCUUCUAUAAGAUUAGGUAGUUGGUAGGGUAAAGGCUUACCAAGCCAAAGAUCUUUAGUUGGUCUGAGAGGAUGACCAGCCACACUGGGACUGAGAAAGGCCCAGACUCCCAUGGGAGGCAGCAGUAAGGAGAAUUGGACAAUGGGCGAAAGCUUGAUCCAGCAAUAUUACGUAAGUGAAGAAGAAAACAUUCGUAAAACUAUAAAAUCAAGGAGGAUAAUGACGUUACUUGAAAAAAAGCCCUGGCUAACUUCGUGCCAGCAGCCGCGGUAAUACGGAGGGGGCGAGUGUUACUCAUGAUGAUUGGGCGUAAAGGGUGCGCAGGCGGUUCUUUAAGUUAUUAGUGAAAGGUUAAUAGAAAAGUUAAAAGAGCUAAUAAAACUGAAGGAGUAGAGUAUGGUAGAGGAAAAUGGAACUUUUACAGUAGAGGUGAAAUUUGAAAAGAGUAAAGGGACCACCAAAGGCGAAGGCAAUUUUCUGGGCCAAAACUGACGCUGAAGCACGAAAGCGUGGGGAGCAAACAGGAUUAGAUACCCUGGUAGUCCAUGCUGUAAACGAUGAAUGUUAGAUAUCGGAAUAAGUAAAUUAAUUCGGUUUCACAGCUAACGCGAAAACAUUCCGCCUGGGGACUACGGUCGCAAGAUUAAAACUUAAAGGAAUUGACGGAAAUCUACACAAGCGGUGGAACAUGUGGUUUAAUUCGAUACAACGCGCAAAACCUUACCAGUCUUGGAAAUAUAAAUAAAAAUAAAGUAAAAAAUUAAAAAUUUUUAUUAAAGAUGAAAAAUAAAAAUAAAAGUUUAUACAGGUGUUGCAUGGCUGUCGUCAGCUCGUGUUGUGAAAUGUCAGGUUCACUCCGGUAACAAGCGCAACCCUUAAUUUUGGUUAUAGAAAUUUAAAAUAUAGUUAAAUGGAAUUCAAAAAUUAAAGUCAAUGAAAGUUGAAGGAAGGUGAGGACGACGUCAAGUCAGUAUGGCCUUUAUAGACUGGGCUACACACGUGUUACAAUGGUUAUGACAAAGAAAAGCAAUGGUGAAAGCCGGAGCAAAUUUCAAAAAAAUAAUCGUAGUUCGGAUUGUUCUCUGCAACUCGAGAAUAUGAAGGAGGAAUCGCUAGUAAUCUCAAAUCAGCAAGUUGAGGUGAAUAGAGUUAUGGAUUUUGUACACACCGCCCGUCAUGCCAUGGAAAUUAGUUCUAUGCGAAGUUAAUUUUAUUUAAGGAAUAAUUUAAUAAAAGAAAAAAUGAAAACAAUGAUUCUUAUUAAAGGGUUUUUUAAAUGAUUAACGAGUGUAGUAUUAAGGACUGGGGUA
rnacentral:rRNA from 1 species